rnacentral:rRNA from 1 species
UACGAAGGGGACUAGCGUUGUUCGGAAUUACUGGGCGUAAAGCGCACGUAGGCGGAUUUGUAAGUCAGGGGUGAAAUCCCGGGGCUCAACCUCGGAACUGCCUUUGAUACUGCAAAUCUCGAGUCCGAUAGAGGUGGGUGGAAUUCCUAGUGUAGAGGUGAAAUUCGUAGAUAUUCGCAAGAACACCAGUGGCGAAGGCGGCUCACUGGCCCGGUACUGACGCUGAGGUGCGAAAGCGUGGGGAGCAAACAGG